rnacentral:rRNA from 1 species
AUAGGUAGGGGNCCUGAGAUGGGGAUCCCCCACACUGGUACUGAGACACGGACCAGACUCCUACGGGAGGCAGCAGUGAGGAAUAUUGGACAAUGGAGGGAACUCUGAUCCAGCCAUGCCGCGUGCAGGAAGACUGCCCUAUGGGUUGUAAACUGCUUUUAUACGGGAAGAAACACCGCUACGUGUAGCGGCUUGACGGUACCGUAAGAAUAA